GCUUGUCUCAAAGAUUAAGCCAUGCAUGUCUAAGUAUAACUCUUUUACUUUGAAAACUGCGAACGGCUCAUUAUAUCAGUUAUAGUUUCUUUGAUAGUCCCUUACUACUUGGAUAACCGUAGUAAUUCUAGAGCUAAUACGUGCGUAAAUCCCGACUCCUGGAAGGGACGUAUUUAUUAGAUUUAAGGCCAACCGAGCUUGCUCGUCUCUUGGUGAAUCAUGAUAACUUCACGAAUCGCAUGGCCUCGCGCCGGCGAUAUUUCAUUCAAAUUUCUGCCCUAUCAAUUGGCGAUGGUAGGAUAGAGGCCUACCAUGGUGUUAACGGGUGACGGGGAUUAGGGUUCGAUUCCGGAGAGGCAGCCUGAGAAACGGCUACCACAUCCAAGGAAGGCAGCAGG
rnacentral:rRNA from 1 species